UGGGGGAUAUUGCACAAUGGGCGAAAGCCUGAUGCAGCGACGCCGCGUGGGGGAUGAAGGCUUUCGGGUUGUAAACCUCUUCCGCUAUCGAACAAGGCCCGCUUAGGGUGGGUUGAGGGUAGGUGGAGAAGAAGCGCCGGCUAACUACGUGCCAGCAGCGGCGGUAAUUCGAAGGGCGCGAGCGUUGUCCGGAAUUAUUGGGCGUAAAGGGCUUGUAGGCGGCUUGUUGCGCCUGCUGUGAAAACGCGGGGCUUAACUUCGCGCGUGCAGUGGGUACGGGCAGGCUUGAGUGUGGUAGGGGUGACUGGAAUUCCAGGUGUAGCGGUGGAAUGCGCAGAUAUCUGGAGGAACACCGAUGGCGAAGGCAGGUCACUGGGCCAUUACUGACGCUGAGGAGCGAAAGCAUGGGUAGCGAACAGG
rnacentral:rRNA from 1 species